UCAUACAAGUAAACAUACAGACUCAAACCAGUCAAUCAUGCAAGCGUACAAUUUCAAUACAAGCAUACUAUAUUCCUUAAAUCAUGACCGACCACUAAGACACUGUCCGGACGGUAUGAACAUGUAGCUCGGUCGUCCCUAGCACCCGGUGUGGUGUAGUAACUGCUUUCCCUUAUCAGCUGCCACCCGAGGUUAGUCCUCAAACGGUUAUCUAUUCAUAUAACCGCGGACCUCCUGCCAUUCCCACACAUGAGUGGCCUUCCUCUACCUGAGGAAACGCCCUCACGGAAUAUCAGGAUCAAGGACGACACCUGAGUCAUUCCCACAUUCAUACUUUACCAAUCACUACCAAAUUUAUGAGUUACUCCGCCAGUGGAAUUCUCUUACUUAGUCAAAUUCAACCAAUGUUCAUUAUUACUUCCAAACUGUUAGGGUGUUGAGAGGAGUACCAAAUACCCAAUACCGAAUCAUAAC
rnacentral:lncRNA from 1 species